AGCAGCCGCGGUAAAUUCCAGCUCCAAUAGCGUAUAUUAAAGUUGUUGCAGUUAAAAAGCUCGUAGUUGAAUUUCGGGAUCAUCAGGUUGGUCGUGCCUCUGGUAUGUACUGAUUUCGAUGGUUCCUCCUUCUUGUAGAACCGUAAUGCCAUUAAUUUGGUGUUGCGGGAAAACAGGACUGUUACUUUGAAAAAAUUAGAGUGUUUAAAGCAGGCAAUCGCUUGAAUACAUUAGCAUGGAAUAAUGAAAUAGGACGUUUGAUCUUAUUUUGUUGGUUUCUAGGAUUGACGUAAUGAUUAAUAGGGAUAGUUGGGGGCAUUAGUAUUCAAUUGUCAGAGGUGAAAUUCUUGGAUUUAUUGAAGACUAACUACUGCGAAAGCAUUUGCCAAGGAUGUUUUCA
rnacentral:rRNA from 1 species